rnacentral:piRNA from 1 species
CCUCAACUGCUUCAGUCACUAACUGGUGAU